UUAAUUGCCAUCAUUCAGUUGGGCACUUUAAUGGGACUGCCGGUAGACAAACCGGAGGAAGGUGGGGAUGACGUCAAGUCCUCAUGGCCCUUAUGGCCAGGGCUUCACACGUAAUACAAUGGUCGGUACAGAGGGUUGCCAACCCGCGAGGGGGAGCCAAUCCCAGAAAGCCGAUCGUAGUCCGGAUUGCAGUCUGCAACUCGACUGCAUGAAGUCGGAAUCGCUAGUAAUCGCGGAUCAGCAUGUCGCGGUGAAUACGUUCUCGGGCCUU
rnacentral:rRNA from 1 species